AACUAGGACCACCCCUACAGCCUGCAGAAACUACUCAAAGUAGCCAAUCCAGACUGUUUAUCCUGCCCUGCCUUGUCCUUCCUAAGGAAACCCCAAGAAAAGGUCUGGUCUAAGUCUUCCCCAUUUCUGCCUUUUGCUGUCUAACCACCCUGGUGACUUUCCCAUGUAUGGAAAUGACAUGCUGCAUGGCAUGCUGUACCCUCGUGGACAUUACUGGUACCUGAGAACAAAUGGAUAAUUUACAACUUAUCCCUCGAUGAAACCAGAUCAUCAGUGGCUUCACACCUGGGAUGCAUCAUUAUGGGUAUCUGCAAAAGUGCCUCUACUGAAUUGUGCUUUAAUAUGAUGCCCUUGGCUAAAUAAAGAGCAUUAUUAAAAGGGU